AAAUUUUUUCUAAAUUUUUGAAAAGUUCUUUGAAUACUAUACUAGUUAUAUUGUGUUUUCGGGUAAGGUAGGGUUUAGGGUUAGUAGGGUUUUGGGUUAUGUAGGGUUAAGGUUAGGUAGGGUUUAGGGUUAGCAUGGUUUAGGGUUAAAAAGAGUUUAGGGUUAGUAGGGUUUUGGGUUAGUAGGAUUUAAGGCUAGAAAGGGUUUAGGGUUAGGUAUGUUUUAGGGUUAGAAAGGGUUUAGGGUUUGAAGGGGUUUAGGGUUAGAAAGGGUUUAGGGUUAGGUAGGGUUUAGGGUUAGGUAGGGUUUAGGGUUCGGUAGGGUUUAGGGUUAGGUAGGGUUUAGGGUUAGAAAGGGUUUAGGGUUAGCAUGGUUUAGGGUUAGAAAAGGUUUAGGGUUAGUAGGGUUAAUAGGAUUUAAGGCUAGAAAGGGUUUAGGGUGAGGUAGGAUUUAGGGUUAGGCAAGGUUUAGGGUUAGGUCAUGUUUAGGGUUAGAAGGGGUUUAAAGUUAGGUUAGGUUUUAGGGUUCGGUAAGGUUUAGGGUUAGGUAGGGUUUAGGGUUAGAAAGGGUUUAGGGUUAGUAGGGUUUAAGGUUAGUAGGGUUUAGGGUUAGUAGGGUUUAGGGUUAGAAAGAGUUUAGGGUUAGAAAGGGUUUAGGUUAAGUAGGGUUUAGGUUAGGUAGGGUUUAGGGUUAUGUAGGGUUAGGAUUAGGUAGGGUUUAGGGUUAGUAGGGUUUAGGGUUAGGUAGGGUUUAGGGUAGGUGGGGUUUAGGGUUAGUAGGGUUUAGGUAGGGUUUAGGGUUAGGGUUAGGUAGGUUUUAGGGUUAGGAAGGGUUUAGGGUUAGGUAGGGUUUAGGGUUAAAUAGAGUUUAGGGUUAGGUAGGGUUUACGUUUAGGGUUCGGUAGGUUUACAAUUAGAUAGGUUUAGGGUUUAGGUAGUAUGAAGGGUUUAGGAUUAGGUUUAUGUAGGGUUUAGGGUUAGAUAGGGUUAAGGUCUAGGUUUAUGUAGGGUUUAGGGUUAAGUAGGAUUUAGGAUUUUAGGCAAUAGAAAAGGUUUAGCGUUUGGUUUAGGUUGGGUUUAAGGUUUGAUUUAGAAUAAUGCUUAGAAUUAUAGGGUUUAUGGUUUGUUUGUUUUUUUGUUUAUGCAUUUAGUGUUGAGAUUUUGGGAUAAAAUUUUAUAUUAAUAUUAUUGAUUUAUAGUUUUUCUUAAAAUGUUAAAAAUUUUAAAGUGAUUUUUAAGGUUCUUAAAAUAUGUAUUUUUUUUUUAGGUUUUUUGUGACAAUAAGUUGAAUAUAUCCUAUACCACAAAUCAUAAAUAUUUUGAGUCUUAUAUAUUUUGUUCUUCAAGUUAUUGUUACUUUUAUUUCCUUUUAUACAUUUCUCUUAAUAUUUAUGUAUGCAUCCACAAUA
rnacentral:lncRNA from 1 species